rnacentral:rRNA from 1 species
UAGGGAAUCUUCCGCAAUGGACGAAAGUCUGACGGAGCAACGCCGCGUGAGCGAAGAAGGCCUUCGGGUCGUAAAGCUCUGUUGUUAGGGUAAGAACAAGUAUCGGAGUAACUGCCGGUACCUUGACGGUACCUAACCAGAAAGCCACGGCUAACUACGUGCCAGCAGCCGCGGUAAUACGUAGGUGGCAAGCGUUGUCCGGAAUUAUUGGGCGUAAAGCGCGCGCAGGCGGUCCUUUAAGUCUGAUGUGAAAGCCCACGGCUCAACCGUGGAGGGUCAUUGGAAACUGGGGGACGUUGAGUGCAGAAGAGGAGAGUGGAAUUCCACGUGUAGCGGUGAAAUGCGUAGAGAUGUGGAGGAACACCAGUGGCGAAGGCGACUCUCUGGUCUGUAACUGACGCUGAGGCGCGAAAGCGUGGGGAGCAAACAGGAUUAGAUACCCUGGUAGUCCACGCCGUAAACGAUGAGUGCUAAGUGUUAGAGGGUUUCCGCCCUUUAGUG